rnacentral:rRNA from 1 species
GUAGGGAGCGAGCGUUGUCCGGAUUUAUUGGGCGUAAAGAGCUUGUAGGCGGUUCGGUAAGUCGGGUGUGAAAACUCUGGGCUCAACCCAGAGACGCCACCCGAUACUGCUGUGACUUGAGUCUGGUAGGGGAGCACGGAAUUCCUGGUGUAGCGGUGAAAUGCACAGAUAUCAGGAGGAACACCGGUGGCGAAGGCGGUGCUCUGGGCCGGUACUGACGCUGAGGAGCGAAAGCGUGGGUAGCAAACAGGAUUAGAUACCCUGGUAGUCCACGCCGUAAACGUUGGGCACUAGGUGUGGGCCCUAACCAACGGGGUCCGUGCCGCAGCUAACGCAUUAAGUGCCCCGCCUGGGGAGUACGGCCGCAAGGSKA